UCAUGUCUCCAUGGUGAUGGAUUGUGUUCCUUCUCCAACUGUGGCCCAGAAUCAACCCUGACUUCCUGAAGUUGAUUUUGUCAUUUUACUGAUAAAGCAGGGAGCCUCUCCCUCCGAAGACCACACCAGGUCACGACUGUAAAGGAAAUGAAAACCCAUGACACCACCUUGAACAGCCCAGAAGGACCCAUGAAGGCAGUGACAUUCCUGUGGUAAUCCCCACUGAUCCCACAUGUGAAACUCUCUCAGUAACCACACGGCAUUAACUGACUCUCUGAGGAAGUCAACAGGAAGCAAUGUGUUGCUGUCAUGAUAUUAAAUAUUUCAAUUAUGAAGACACCAAAAUUUUAAAUCACUGUGAAGAACAACUGUGGAAUGUGUUAAAGCUCUUCUGCAUGUCCUGGGCCCCACUGACUAAUUCUUAAAUAAACAAAUGUGCUUCUUUAUUUUCUCCCCAUCCCAUAAUA